AAAUUGAAGAGUUUGAUCAUGGCUCAGAUUGAACGCUGGCGGCAGGCCUAACACAUGCAAGUCGAACGGUAGCACAGAGAGCUUGCUCUCGGGUGACGAGUGGCGGACGGGUGAGUAAUGUCUGGGAAACUGCCCGAUGGAGGGGGAUAACUACUGGAAACGGUAGCUAAUACCGCAUAAUGUCGCAAGACCAAAGUGGGGGACCUUCGGGCCUCACACCAUCGGAUGUGCCCAGAUGGGAUUAGCUUGUUGGUGGGGUAACGGCUCACCAAGGCGACGAUCCCUAGCUGGUCUGAGAGGAUGACCAGCCACACUGGAACUGAGACACGGUCCAGACUCCUACGGGAGGCAGCAGUGGGGAAUAUUGCACAAUGGGCGCAAGCCUGAUGCAGCCAUGCCGCGUGUAUGAAGAAGGCCUUCGGGUUGUAAAGUACUUUCAGCGGGGAGGAAGGCGUUGUGGUUAAUAACCGCAGCGAUUGACGUUACCCGCAGAAGAAGCACCGGCUAACUCCGUGCCAGCAGCCGCGGUAAUACGGAGGGUGCAAGCGUUAAUCGGAAUUACUGGGCGUAAAGCGCACGCAGGCGGUUUGUUAAGUCAGAUGUGAAAUCCCCGGGCUCAACCUGGGAACUGCAUUUGAAACUGGCAAGCUUGAGUCUCGUAGAGGGGGGUAGAAUUCCAGGUGUAGCGGUGAAAUGCGUAGAGAUCUGGAGGAAUACCGGUGGCGAAGGCGGCCCCCUGGACGAAGACUGACGCUCAGGUGCGAAAGCGUGGGGAGCAAACAGGAUUAGAUACCCUGGUAGUCCACGCCGUAAACGAUGUCUAUUUGGAGGUUGUGCCCUUGAGGCGUGGCUUCCGGAGCUAACGCGUUAAAUAGACCGCCUGGGGAGUACGGCCGCAAGGUUAAAACUCAAAUGAAUUGACGGGGGCCCGCACAAGCGGUGGAGCAUGUGGUUUAAUUCGAUGCAACGCGAAGAACCUUACCUGGUCUUGACAUCCACGGAAUUUGGCAGAGAUGCCUUAGUGCCUUCGGGAACCGUGAGACAGGUGCUGCAUGGCUGUCGUCAGCUCGUGUUGUGAAAUGUUGGGUUAAGUCCCGCAACGAGCGCAACCCUUAUCCUUUGUUGCCAGCGAUUAGGUCGGGAACUCAAAGGAGACUGCCAGUGAUAAACUGGAGGAAGGUGGGGAUGACGUCAAGUCAUCAUGGCCCUUACGACCAGGGCUACACACGUGCUACAAUGGCGCAUACAAAGAGAAGCGACCUCGCGAGAGCAAGCGGACCUCAUAAAGUGCGUCGUAGUCCGGAUUGGAGUCUGCAACUCGACUCCAUGAAGUCGGAAUCGCUAGUAAUCGUGGAUCAGAAUGCCACGGUGAAUACGUUCCCGGGCCUUGUACACACCGCCCGUCACACCAUGGGAGUGGGUUGCAAAAGAAGUAGGUAGCUUAACCUUCGGGAGGGCGCUUACCACUUUGUGAUUCAUGACUGGGGUGAAGUCGUAACAAGGUAACCGUAGGGGAACCUGCGGUUGGAUCACCUCCUUA
rnacentral:rRNA from 2 species